GCCCAUAUAAGCCUCACCAUCACCCUUGACACAGAUCCUAUUAUCACCCGCAUUAUAAAGAUGAGAAGACAGAAGCACAGAGAGGUGGAGCAUCUUGUCAAAGUCACACAGCCGGGAUCUGGACCGAGUGGAGCUCCCUUAAGGCGCCAGCCCCUCCCCACCGCCGAGCAUCUCCUGUAAUGCGAUCAUCCGGAAGUGAGAACAUGGUGGGGCAGGGGAGGGUGGUAGGGAGAUGGAAAAAACUGGGAGGUGUUCAGCCACUGGCGACAAGGAGGAGGAAGGUGCCGUCUGGCAUCACCAUGCAGCCCGUUCCAGAUGGCAGAGAACCCACAGCCACUGCCUGGCCAGGUGGGAACAGGAAGGGCAUGGACAGGUCUGGAAGGGCGGACCCAAGCAGGAAGGUGUGACAUCAUCAUCUCAUGGCCCUGGUGCACCCAGCACAUCUGUAGAGAGGCGCACAGCUGGAAAGAGACUUCACUUUUUGCUCUGAAGGCACUGUCCUCCUUUGACCAGAAAGAGGAGGCACAGCAGAAAAACUUCUUGGAGCCAUUGCUCUGGAAUUUGAGGGACAUUCCAUCCUGG
rnacentral:lncRNA from 1 species